rnacentral:misc_RNA from 1 species
CGUAAUUAUGGUGGAUUUGGCAGGAGACAUUUCGCCAUUACUGGAACUGGAUAGCGACACAUUGCGCGAGCGUUUAUAUACCGCAAAAACCGAUCUUGGCGAUAACGCCGCCGUUCCGGUUAAGCUGGU